UCAUAAAUUGCUUGCAGGACGGGAAGGUGUCAACGUUUUGCCUUUUGAUACAAACAUUGCACUUGUCCCGGCCUAUGAGCGGUUUAUCU
rnacentral:miRNA from 1 species